rnacentral:rRNA from 1 species
UGGGGAAUCUUGGACAAUGGGGGCAACCCUGAUCCAGCCAUGCCGCGUGAGUGAUGAAGGCCUUAGGGUCGUAAAGCUCUUUCGCCUGUGAAGAUAAUGACGGUAGCAGGUAAAGAAACCCCGGCUAACUCCGUGCCAGCAGCCGCGGUAAUACGGAGGGGGUUAGCGUUGUUCGGAAUUACUGGGCGUAAAGCGCACGUAGGCGGACCAGAAAGUUGGGGGUGAAAUCCCGGGGGCUCAACCCCGGAACUGCCUCCAAAACUAUUGGUCUAGAGUUCGAGAGAGGUGAGUGGAAUUCCAAGUGUAGAGGUGAAAUUCGUAGAUAUUUGGAGGAACACCAGUGGCGAAGGCGGCUCACUGGCUCGAUACUGACGCUGAGGUGCGAAAGUGUGGGGAGCAAAACAGGAUUAGAUACCCUGGUAGUCCACACCGUAAAACGAUGAAUGCCAGUCGUCGGGUAGCAUGCUAUUCGGUGACACACCUAACGGAUUAAGCAUUCCGGCCUGGGGAGUACGGUCGCAAGAUU